rnacentral:rRNA from 1 species
UACGGGGGGGACAAGCGUUGUUCGGAUUUACUGGGCGUAAAGGGCGUGUAGGCGGAUGUGCAAGUCGGGGGUGAAAGGCCAGGGCUCAACCCGGGACGGUCUCCCGAAACUGCGCAUCUCGAGAAAGUCAGAGGCAGGUGGAAUUCCAGGUGUAGAGGUGAAAUUCGUAGAGAUCUGGAGGAACACCGGCGGCGAAGGCGGCCUGCUGGGGCUUUUCUGACGCUGAGGCGAGAAAGCGUGGGGAGCAAACAGG